CGUGAGACAGUUCGGUCCCUAUCUGCCGUGGGCGUUGGAAGAUUGAAGGGGGCUGCUCCUAGUACGAGAGGACCGGAGUGGACGAACCUCUGGUGUUCGGGUUGUGUCGCCAGACGCAUUGCCCGGUAGCUAAGUUCGGAAUCGAUAACCGCUGAAAGCAUCUAAGCGGGAAGCGAGCCCUGAGAUGAGUCUUCCCUGAUACUUUAAGUAUCCUAAAGGGUUGUCGGAGACUACGACGUUGAUAGGUCAGGUGUGUAAGUGCUGUGAGGCAUUGAGCUAACUGAUACUAAUUGCCCGUGAGGCUUAACCAUACAACACCCAAGGGGUUU
rnacentral:rRNA from 1 species